rnacentral:lncRNA from 1 species
UAGCUGCAAUGUGAACCAACAAUUACAGCCUCAGACACCAUUUCAUGCCUGGAACGUUGUCCCCAAAGGAAGCACUAUGUACAGGUAUGUCCUAUCUGAAGAUGGGUAAACAGUGCAGUAUUUCUCUUGUCGUGUAACUAAAUUCCCCCAGCAGCCAGCAGAAUUCUAUGACAAAUGACAAGGGAAAUGAUGAAAAAAAAGAAAACCUUGCUGAGGUAAAUGCAGCCUGCAGGACUUCUAAAAGGUAUUUCAGCCGAUACCAAUUACAAUUUCCUCACACCAAGCGAAACAGGUCACAAACUGUCAUCACUAUUCUGCUUAGUUGCCAAAACCACAGUGCAGUGAACCAAUUGCCAUUAUAUGAUCAUUUUACAAACAGCUCCAAUCAAAAUGCUCUCACUGGACAGACUGGUUUGGUCAAAGGGAGCAAAGAAGGCAGUCACCAAACAAAUCUAACCUCACAAUAUUUCCAUUUAAAACCCUUUGAUAAUAAUCGUACUGCCGUGUCCGCCAUGCAUCUAAGCUGCUGCUGAUCAGAGAGAGCACCAAGGACACGCAUUGCUGCAAGAAAGAAAACAUUGUCUCAUGACAACCAUAGCAUUCAAAUGCUGUGCAGAUUGAUACGAAUAUAAAAUUGCAAUGUCACCUCUUCUGUCAAGCUUAGAUGGUAUCGCUUUCUUAGGUUCUGUAUUGUCCGUGGACCACCUUUAAAGCAAGGGAAACCAGAAUCCUGAUUCAGAAAAAGAAGGCAAACAAGUCCAUCAGUCAACAAAGCAUUGGUAUUGCUGACAUUAGAGCACCAGAAUCAUAAAGCCAGACCCCUCCAAAGAAAUUACAUAAUUUUGUUGGAUUGAAAUUAUGUGCUCCCUUUCUCCCUCUAUCAAAUAACUAAGAACAAGGAAAAUUAAUUGUCCUAUUUCAAACUUUAGUGACCAUAGAUCAGCUUUGGCACUUCUCAAGCAUCACUCCUCAGCCCAAAUUCCCAGUUACAUAUUGGGGAUGAGCAACCCAAACAGAUUUUAUUUGCUUUAACAAUACCAGUGCUAUUAAAGUUGAAACAGAUCAGAUUUGGCUGAUAAGUCAGACUGAAAUACUCUGUAUCAGAGAAAGAAAUCACAGCGGUAAAAUUUCAAAUCCACAAUUCAGAUGUUGCAACAAUAAUCCAUGGCCCGCUGGACAUUCUCAUGCCCAAGAUCAUUCUUUUCCACAAAGGGCCAUCAAGUCUCACCUACAUAUUUAUUCAUCUCAGUUUUUCCAUCUAACAUACAUAGUAAGCCCUAUAAUGUGCAAUCCAAGAUCAGUCUUGUCAAAAGCAGUCUCAUGAUGUUUGUAUCAGGAUCGUAUAUGGUCACACAACAAAGGCCAUGCAUAGUUUAUGAAAACCACAUACUGGGGGAAAAAUGAUGAAGAAAGAAAGGACCAGAACAACAGAAAACAUUGGAAGGUUAAUGAUAGUUCAGUUAUACCUGCAACAUCUCAACAAGGAGAAUAAUACGCUCUGCAUGCUUACGACAUGUCAAGAAGCCUUGAAUACAUAAAACCUGCAUUUGAAGGGAAAAUGAUAAGUCAAUCAAUCACAAGAGAUUGAAGAGCCAAAACGGUGUAAUUGGAUUGAAACAGUAGAAAGUGUUAUCACUACCUUAAAAUAGUCAAAGAACUCGCUUGGAAUUCCCUCAGCGUCAGAAUCCAUGACCUGGAAUAAGAUCCAUACGCAAAAUCCAAAACCAGUUGCAGAACAAUAACAAAAAAGUGGACACACACACACUGGCACAUAAAAUAGACUACCAUACCUCAAGAAGUUCCCGGGUUAGUUUGAAAGGUGCGCUUUCAAAAUUUACACCACCAGGAGAGUUAGAGAGCAUGAAGCCAAAAUCAAUGUGUAUUAUGUGGCCAUCUUCAUCCAUUAACAAGUUCCCAUUGUGCUGUCCUUCACCUGAGAAAAAAAUAAAAAAGAAAUGCAUUUUUCUCACAAAGAGAAUGAAUGAAACAAGUAAAACAUAAGGUGCAAAUCAUUCUGGUUAUAAAAGCUAAUAGUACAAGAAAAUACACCCUAUUUGACCAGUUGGUUUGGAGUGUUGAAUAUGUUUUACAUGAUAGUAACACCUAAAUGAAGGAUGCAGCUUACUCUAGAGAAAAAGUCAUCUUUACAGAUACACAAAUAUGCCAUCGAUUUUUCUCAAAAUCUAACACUCCAUCCAUCCCACAUUUGUCCAUUUCAAAAAGGAUAAAGAUUUUAAUAUAUUUUUAAAUUGGAAAUGGACAUCUUUACAUUCUCCUUGAAAAAACAUUUUUUGCUAGAAAAAAAUUCAUUAAGACAACAUUAAAAAAGUAAAAUUUUCUAUCGUUUCCUGAUAUGGACGAGUAUGACAGGUGAGUGGUGACUAGUAAAGACAUUUGCAUUUGGGACCUGCACAUUCUUAAUCGAUAGUGAGAUCAGGCACCAUACCUGUAAAAGGUAGCACACAAGAGAAUAUCCAGCCAUGCUUUCAACAAAGUUCCUCUGAAGAAAUAAGAUGUAGAUAAAUAAAUAAAACCUUGGGGAUAUAUCUUUAAUGAGAAAGAAAAAGGAAAAAAGAAAAUUAAAUAUGCAGCCCAAGUCACCAUUUGCUGUUAAACUAUAGAAGUAAGAAUCUGGGGAAGACAAAGGUUUGCAACACUGAUACAAGAUGCAGUCUCAAAUUACAGGAACCAUGAUAAAACCAGAAACUACAAUAUCAAAACUCGGGCUCCAAUAUCUAUGAACAAAAAUAAUAUGCCAAAUAAACGCAUUAGGCAGAGGUUUUAAUGCUAUGUACAGCUUAGGCGACUGAUGUUGUUAAAGUGAACAAAUGUUUCAAAUCACAAACAGAUUUCACCAUCCUUCCCAGAUAAAAAAAAUGCUUGAGAAGGAAGCAUUGCCGAUAGAAGCAUGAGCCUAUUAAACAGAAAGCUUUCACAUUAAUCCACAACCAUUUCUAGAGUGAGAACAACAUUUUUUUUAACUAAUAUGAAUUCCAGUUUAUGCUUGAUGGUGCAGUAUUUCGUGUUGCAAAAGAAAUGCCUACAGAAGUAGUGAGAAAUUGGAUGCUAAUUCUUCAAAAUCUAUAAUUACUGUAUUGUGUCCUCUAUACUUGUAGAAUCUCCUCUAUGGUAGCUUUCCACCUAAAAAUAAAAGAUGAAGAAAGCCACCAAUACAUGUAGAACCACAAAACUUCUAGAAAGAAUAAGAAUCCUGUCUAACCCACCAAAAUAAUGACUAUGCAUUUGCUAAUGCAUCAAUGGAUAUUCUUGGGGUGAAUAAGCCUGUUUAACCAUGGUGAUAAUGUCAGUGCACCACUAUUUUUUAAUGUUUAAUACCUGUGCAAGCUUAAAACUUGGGGAGUUCUCUCCAUACUUGGCACCAAAAAAGUCACGCAAACUCAUUACAUUUGGAUAUCUGCUCUUAAUAGAAUGGAUUGAUGCCUGCAAACCAAGGCAAUAUCACUGAGAUACCAAAGAACAGUCCUUAUAAAACAAAUCAAAUAGAACUAAUAUACAUAAUUACCGUAUCUGGAAUUGUUUCAAUGAGAGCUGUGUAAGAUGAAGUACAUAGAACUUCAUAGGGACGCAACCAAAGAGGUAGACCAGCUUCUUGAAAUAUAUCUGGCAUUAAAACCUAAAUAUUUUAAGCUUGAACCUACUGUAGAAAAAAAAAAGAAACAAAAUCCAACUUUUUGGAAUAAUUUGAACAUAAGAACUUGACACAAACAAAAAAGAUAACUCUGGCAUAGGAGCUUAUAACAUUAACUGGAAUGCACUUUAGGCUCAACUCAUCAUCUCAAAGUCAAUGUGACAGCUAAGUUUAAUUUGCACAAAAACAAAAGAAAAAAAGAAAAAUCAAGAAGAUUUAGAAGCAUCAAGUUAAGCAACAUGAAUUUGGAUGGAAUAUUUGAUCUGACACCAUUAAGAGCCCAUUUGAAAGUACGGUAGCUUCUGUUUUUUAUUGCUUUUCAAAAAUGCAUUUGCCUUGAAAAAAGCAUCAAAUUGAUGUUUGUUUUUGUGUUUUUCGAUAAUUUUGAUGUAUUGAUGUCAAAAAUAAAAAAACAAAUCUGGAAAGAAAACAGUUUGAUGCAUUUUUAAGCAAAAAGCACUUUUCAAAGGCCCCUUGCACCAUAAUAUCAAACACGCACUAAGAAAAUAACAAAAAAGGUCUGUCUUGGAUUCUUGAAAAUAUGUAAAGCAAGGGCAUUUAGAUGCUUCAAGUUAGGCAAAAUGAAUUUGGAUAGAAAAUUUGAUCUGACAUGAUUAAGAAGAUAGCAAAAGAGGGCCCACUUGGAUUCAUGAAAAUGUGUAAAUCAUCAGAUUUUAGCAGAGUAACCUCUUAGGUAUAAACUUAGGUAUAAACAAGGACUUCAGAAGUCCAGAAUUCCCAGAAAUUUUCUGUUAUUCUUUUUAGUUGCUAUUGAUUAACUGUUCAUUUAAAUUGGAGAUACGCAUGGUUAAUGCAGAUAGUUUUAGCUAUUUAGCAUAGGCACAAAUACAGACACAUCCUACUUAUAUAGUUCAGGAAAUUUAUUGCCAAUUUAUAUAGCAUCCCUAAGAAGAAACAUGCUGCUUUCAGACAACAACCUCUGAAUAGUUAGCCAUGAUGAAUGCAACACAAUCUGCAGGCACCUACCAUAAAAGUGAGAAAUGAGUUGCACAGCAAGAUGCUCCUGCCUACAAUCAUCACCACUCUUCACAAUAACCUGCAUGAGAAACAAAACAAGCAAAAUUUUUUAUUAGAACAGAAGGCAAUUAAACAAUAGCAACUCGCAGAAAUUUAUUAGUAUUACAUGUUCACUUGGUAGCCUAAAAAGGAAAGAUUAAAUCAAACACUGUAGACAAUUAAGUAUUCUAGAAGAUACAUAGAACCAUACAAGGAUACAUGUAAAUACCUACACAUUGUCAAGAGAACCAUACAAGGAUACAUGUAAAUACCUACACAUUGUCAAGCUUCUUNNNNNNNNNNNNNNNNNNNNNNNNNNNNNNNNNNNNNNNNNNNNNNNNNNNNNNNNNNNNNNNNNNNNNNNNNNNNNNNNNNNNNNNNNNNNNNNNNNNNGGGACCGGAUAUUAAGUUAUUUAACUGUUAAAGAUGAGAUGAUGCGCUUGAUUGAUACUAUCAAUAAAUUUCAAGUACUGCGAAUGUAAUAAAUCCAAAUCUAAAACUAUAAAAAACAAAUCCCUUCAUGAUAUACGAGAUCGGGCUCGAUUAUUUACAGGGUGAUUCAAAAUCAUGGUGUGAUGAAAUAGGGCCUCCUUGGCAUAUAUACAAGGACUAUUCUCAUGACAAAUCAGCUUUCGACCUUCACCCUCGACAGACACCACCACAUGUUUAUCAGAUAUACAAGCUUGCCUUGUCUUUAUAUUUUCAACUAUUGGUCAGUGAUUCAGCAAUACAUCCAUAUAGUAUUAGGGCAACUCGGCUUCAGUGUAGGUGGUAGCCGCUGUUCAUUUUAUUGACAAUACCAGAUUAUAAAAACUAAAAUUUAGCCAUGCAGAAAUCAUUCAAAACAGCUUGCUGAAAAAUAACAAGACUAUUGUUAACUUGACAUCAAAACUUCUAAUGAAAAGUAGUUCUUGGAUUUCAUCAUAUCAGAACUGAGGAAGUUCGAAACAAAUUUCAAGUACAGAUUGAUUUAAAAUCAAUUCACACUAUAAAAGUAUGAAUCACUGGAUUCAAUCUCUAUCAAAGCCCGUAAACAAUUUAUGAUUAUUUUUAAAAAUAAAAAAGUGUAGGAAUUACAUUUAUUUCCCCGACUACUAUGAUUGAGCGGGGAGUCUAGAUCCAUCAGCUCCAAAAAGUCCGCAUUGCUGCCUGGAAGCAUUGGAUCCAUGAAAUAUUGUGAGAUGGGGAUGCUAUCCCCGCCACCUUCCAGGGGGCAAGGUCUCCCAAGUUCUCAAAUAUACCAGUCUCUGGCUCUGCAAUCCCACCAAAGUCCGCAAUCUGAAUCCAAAUCAAAUUUCAAUUAAGUUAUUAGAUAAAAAUUUCAAUAAAAUUGCAAACAAAAAAACUGAAGUACUGUAGCAGAAAAGAAAAGACAAGGCAAGAGAUAAUAGAUUUUAGAAACUAUGCGGCCAUGAAACAGCAAAUAGCAAGUAACAUACCCAUGCCCAACCUGAGAAGCAAGUCAAAAGAAAAUUUUGGGGAAAAAAAAUCCUGCCAUGUAAUACAUUAUAACAAUCAAGAAAAUUAACAAAUGAUUAACAAUGCCUCCAUAACUACACAAAGCAAAACCUAGAAACAUUAGGUUUAAUUACAUAAUUAAUGAAGUCCCAAGAACUAAUUAGAUUACACGAUAAGAAAUAGAUACAUAAGACCUAUUCACACAAGUCAAUUUUCCAACUGCCACUGUUUUAAGCACACAGCCAAAAGCUUAGUAAAUAAUUAUAUACAUUGAGUUAAAAGGACAGAUAAACAGACCUUAGUAUUGUCAUUGUCCAAGAAAUCCAGCAUUGAAAGGAAAUCAUCGGUGUCAUCCACAAUUUGAGUACCCACUUGGGUAGCACCCACGCUAGGAAUGUAAGCAGAACACGUAUUUUCCAGUACAUAUGAGCUAGAGCUAGCAAGGAUGGAACUGUUGGGCUUACAUGGUUGUUGAAAAGCUGGCAUGUCAGAAUCAGCUUCACCACCAUUCACACCCCAUGCACAACCUGAAGAGCUUCUGUAGAAGCAACAUCAUCAUUAGAAACCCUAGGAAGGGUAGAGCAAGCUGUUGAUGGGGCUUGGGAAGGGCAUGAUAUAAGCGGUCCAGUGCACGUGCUCUCUGGCACGCAUGAGCUUGUGGCGAUGGGACAUGUUUGGAUUGUUUGGCAGCAUAAAUGCAGGUGCAUGCAUGAGAGCAGGUAAAAUAGCUGGCUGGGCAUUCACUUCCUUCUCCACCUCAUCAUCACCAUCAUCCCAUUCAUCCUCAUUAAAUGGUGCUCCAUACUGCGCACCAUUUUUUGGACCAGGUCCAUCCUUCUUGAAUAUCACACAGAGGACGAACUCAUCUUGAGCAAUUCCUUUGUCAGCCAACUCUUUUUCUUCAAGUCUAUAUUCAUACAUAACCCAGUCUGUUCGCUCCCCUUUAGGUGCCUUGCCAAUAUGAAAAACCAAAGUUUUUAUCAUCCCGACAACUUCAUUUUGUACUGAACAGAUCUGUCUUUGCCAGUGGUUUUCCAAUAACCAAUAUCAGUGGCACGCUUCUUUCUUACCCCACUUGCAUACUUCUUUUCUGUAGGGCAAAAGAAGUACCAUUUCAGAUCCCUAGUUCCCAAACAAGAUUUAUUGGGAAGAUCCCAUGGGGCAUAUUUGUUAAUCUCAAUCUCCGCAAUUGCUUGAAGAUGAAAUUUCUUCCCCAGCACUUUUCUUUUCAGAUAGUAUUUUACAGUUCCACAUCAGUUGGAUGGAACCUAAAGCCAGGAGGCAAUGAACUAUUUCUCCCCAUUGAGAAAAUCCAACAGAGCGUCAACGAAAGAAAAACCAAAUCACAAUACACCGUGUGAUCCUUCACAAGCAGCUAGAAAAGUGUUGUAUGAAGCAGUGUUGUUACCAGGCAGGUAGCCAAAUCUAAUACACUAGUACUUUUUGUCUUUUGCGCAAACAAUGAAUCUAAAUAUUGAAAGCAGCAGGAUGACACUCUUGUGUCAAAAGGAAAACAGAGAAGUGAAGGGUCAGGUCCAGUGCCUAAAUAUGAACUUCCACGAACACCACGGCCUCCCCUGGGUCAUAAACCCAAAACCACACCAAAGUAAUGAUGCUUGUGUCUCGUAGAGAUCAAAAGACAUUGGGUGUGCAGUAUAAUUCCUGAUUCAGACAUUCUAUUAGCCACACUGGUCCAAUAAAACUAGGUAAAAGUAAUAAAAAAUAAUAUCAAACCAAGAUAGAUUCUAAUCAAAUCAAGACAAACCAGAAAACAAAGGCAAGCAAAACAAUCAAGUCACAAGCCAAACACCACAAACUCAAGGGACCAAAAAAAUUGCAAUCAAGAAAAGAACGAACAGCAAGAAAAUCAGCUCAAACUCAAUACAUUGCGACAUCCAGUUUAGAAAAAAAUAACCUUAAUCACUUCACAAGGACAGUAUUUAAAUAUACAUAAUAAAACCGAUCAAAAUAAAACCCUAAAUCACACAAUCUCGUAAUUAACAAUCAAUAUCAGCUGAAAAAAACACAAUCUCAGCUUGAUCAAGAUAAAACCCAACACAAAUCAAAAACUUUAACAGCAAAAUCACCCACAUACACAACAAUUAAAAAAAGACAAACCCAUUUUGCAAAAACACAAUCUUCAACUCCUACGGAACCGCAACAACUCAAAUACAACAAAAACCCAUAAAAAAAUAGAACACUAAAUGGCCAAACCAAGACGAUGAUUUAAAAAACAAACCCUAAACGAAAACAAAACAAAAGAAAAAUACAAAGCUAACCGAUCACAUAAAAACACAACAUUUACCACCUUAACAAUCUCAAUUCCUAAAUAAAAAUAAAACCCGCAAAAAACAAACCAUAAAUCGCACACCCCAGGCAAAAAUCUAAACCAACCAGCUCAAAACCAUUAAACAUAAAAAAACCCACAAACCCUAGAGAGAAAUCCCAAAAAUAAAACCCAGAACAAGUGAAGUAAAUACAGAAAGAAGAUACCCUAGAAAUGAUACCCGGGGAGAGGGGGGGCUCUGAUCAAGAGCGAGGGAGAGAGAGAGACGCCAAUAUCUGGAGUGCCCAGUAAAUCAAUGUGCGUCAAAGUAAGUGGAAGCAGCCUAGGGAUUGGUCGGGUUAAUUUAUAUCGAAAGGGGGAGAGUAUAGAAAGAGUGUGUUUGGUUACUAAAAUAAAUUAGUUAUCGGCGUGAUUAAGAAUCCUUGUGUUUUGAUUGGUUGGAUUGCCUCAUUGAUUUUGACUCUUUUUUAUUUUUGUUUUAUUUCAUAUUGAACUGGAAAGAUGUAUUUUUAGGAAAUGUUGAGGUUGUUUCUACUGUUGGACCAUUUGUGUAUGGUGAUUGUGUCAUGAUAUGAUUCGUUGGGUCAAGUGUUAGAAUUUUCCUGUUCACACUAGUUUUUUUUUUUUUUUAAAAGAGAGAAUUCUUGCCAAUUAUGUUUUCUUUUUCAUUUUCAUUUUAAGGGUGAAGUGUUAUUAAAUUAGUUUUUGUAUAUCGAAACUAUCACAUUUCAAUCAUGCCUUAAUCCAUUCAUCUCCGUGUGUGUAUAAAGAGAAACAUUUACACCGUUGCAUUCAUAAAUUUCAAAAUAUUUGAAUGUUUUGGGAAGAAAUUUUUUCAAAUAUCAUUAAAAUGAUUUGUUUUUGUGUUUUAAAAAUAUUUUUAAAAUUUUUAAUUUUUUUUAAUUUUUUUCUUUGCUUCAAAUUAAUAAUUUUUUAGUGUUUUUAGAUAUUUUCAUAUAAUGAUAUUAAAAAUAAUUUUUAAAAAACAAAAAAAAUAUUAUUUUAAUAUAUUUAUAAGUCAAAAGCACUUAGAAAAAUAACCACAAUUAUAUUCCCAAACAUAUUGAGUUCUGUUUUGGUUUUUUUUUUAUUUUUAUGUUGGGUGUAUCAUGUUAUAACCUAAUAUUGAUACAUCAUUGAUAUAAAAUCUUAAAAAAUUAUAUUGUUCUAUAUAUGGAAGUCUCUUAAAUCACAAUGUAUAGUGAUAUUAAUGUCUUUUCAAUUGUUUUUGUUAGUGAAAAUAUCUUGUUUUCACAACUACACACAUGUUGCAGAUCAUUAAUUUUGAUUUUCCAAAUACUUAUCGAUUAGCAAAGAUUGUUCAGUAGAAAUUCUUGUGGUUUUCAUCUAAUUUCUUUUUAUUUUAUUUUAUUUUAUGUUCAUAUUUGCAUUCCUUCAAGUUAUACCAAGAAAGAGAAAAGUCUGGCUCUUGCUUGCUCAAGUAAUAAACAAUAUCAUCAUAAAAAAAAUUACUUUUUAAAAUGUUUUAUUUUUAAAAAUAUAUUUAAAUAAUAUAUAUUUUAUUUUUUAAAAUUUAUUUUUUAUAUUAAUAUAUUAAAACGAUCAAAACUUUAUAUAUAAAAAUAUAAAUUUUAGCCAAAUUCAUUUCAGGAUGGUAAAACUUAAGCCUAAAAUGAUGUAUGUUUAGAAAUAUGAUUACAAUUAAUGGGAAAUGAAUUAAAUAAUAUUUUAAUCUUUUUAAAAUAUUAUUUUUGACAUAAAAAAAUUUAAAAACAUAAAAAGAACUAUUAAUUUGAAAUAGAAAAAAUAAAAAUAAAAAUUAAUUAAAAAAAAAACAUUUUUAAAAUAGAUUAAUAUCACGUCCACGAAGAAAUAGAAAAUUAGCAACGACAAAAGGGGAUGAGGAAAGCUUUUACAGAAGAAGAAUAUUUAAGGCAGAGGAUCACCACCCCAGCUACUGCCACAAAACUUGACAGCCUUUCAAACUUCGAAGAGAAGAAAAGCCAAUCUGGUCAAGGAGAAACAUCACAGUCGAAAAUUGAAACACGUAAUAUCAAAAGGAUAAGCACUACAUAGAAUAUUCUCUUGAAUAAAAAAGAAAUGAUAUUCAGAAGAACAAAUAUAUUUAUGAAUGUUAAACAAACUUCUUUAAUAUCAAUUUCCCCCACAUCUUCCAUUCAUUGGAUUAACCCACCAAGUAAAAGCUUAUAUUGCAUGAACUGCCCUAUGCUUGAACCAACCAUUACGAAAGAUCAACUAGUCAAUAAGACUAUAUGUCCAUUCUAGAAGACUUGACUUAGAGUUGGAAGUGUCCAAGAUCAAAUCUCCUACCUUAAAAAACUAUUAGACAGAGAAGGGAAAGAAAAAAAAAACAUCAAAUAUUGCUCAAAAGACCUAGCAUUUGGAUGCAAGCAAGCAGACAAACAUCAAAAUUUUAAUCAAGAAAAACACAGCCUGGAAUCCAAAUUCAAAGCCACCAAAACUGUGAUAUACAACAGGAAUAUCAAAUGAACAAAUUUCUAACUGUUGAGAGCAAAUGGGAUCUAAUCUAAGAGGUUGUAUUCAUAUACCCUUUCUCAAGAAUGUUACUAGCAAGCCUUUGGUAGAAAGCAUGGAAGAAUCAUACUAUUGGAAGAAUAGGCAUCAAACGGAGAACAGCUACUGACUGGCAGGGUCGCCUAUCCAAUAUACAGUCUGUUCAAACUUUAAUCGGAAGAAAAAAUGGACUUCGAAAUAUGAAUAGAUACAAAAUCGGGAAUUGUCAGCUGCUUCUGAUCACUAACCAGUGUGGAAUAUGAAGUAGCUGCAAUGUGAACCAACAAUUACAGCCUCAGACACCAUUUCAUGCCUGGAACGUUGUCCCCAAGGAAGCACUAUGUACAGUAUGUCCUAUCUGAAGAUGGGUAAACAGUGCAGUAUUUCUCUUGUCGUGUAACUAAAUUCCCCCAGCAGCCAGCAGAAUUCUAUGACAAAUGACAGGGAAAUGAUGAAAAAAAGAAAACCUUGCUGAGGUAAAUGCAGCCUGCAGGACUUUAAAAGGUAUUUCAGCCGAUACAAUUACAAUUUCCUCACACCAAGCGAAAACAGGUCACAAACUGUCAUCACUAUUCUGCUUAGUUGCCAAAACCACAGUGCAGUGAACCAAUUGCCAUUAUAUGACAUCAUUUUACAAACAGCUCCAAUCAAAAUGCUUCACUGGACAGACUGGUUUGGUCAAAGGGAGCAAAGAAGGCAGUCACCAAACAAAUCUAACCUC